UUUGAUUCUUUCGGGAUGAAGAGUAUUGUGACUGAGCGGCGGACGGGUGAGUAACGCGUGGGUAACCUGCCUCAUACAGGGGGAUAACAGUUAGAAAUGACUGCUAAUACCGCAUAAGCGCACAGGACCGCAUGGUCCGGUGUGAAAAACUCCGGUGGUGUGAGAUGGACCCGCGUCUGAUUAGCCAGUUGGCGGGGUAACGGCCCACCAAAGCGACGAUCAGUAGCCGGCCUGAGAGGGUGAACGGCCACAUUGGGACUGAGACACGGUCCAAACUCC
rnacentral:rRNA from 1 species